UGAUGAGGGGAACUCGCAGCCUUGCA
rnacentral:piRNA from 1 species